rnacentral:rRNA from 1 species
UGGGGAAUAUUGCACAAUGGGCGCAAGCCUGAUGCAGCAACGCCGCGUGAGGGAUGACGGCCUUCGGGUUGUAAACCUCUUUUAGCAGGGAAGAAGCGAAAGUGACGGUACCUGCAGAAAAAGCACCGGCUAACUACGUGCCAGCAGCCGCGGUAAUACGUAGGGUGCAAGCGUUGUCCGGAAUUAUUGGGCGUAAAGAGCUCGUAGGCGGUCUGUCGCGUCUGCUGUGAAAUCCCGAGGCUCAACCUCGGGCCUGCAGUGGGUACGGGCAGACUAGAGUGCGGUAGGGGAGAAUGGAACUCCUGGUGUAGCGGUGGAAUGCGCAGAUAUCAGGAAGAACACCGAUGGCGAAGGCAGUUCUCUGGGCCGUAACUGACGCUGAGGAGCGAAAGCGUGGGGAGCGAACAGGAUUAGAUACCCUGGUAGUCCACGCCGUAAACGUUGGGCGCUAGAUGUGGGGACCAUUCCACGGUUUCCGUGUCGCAGCUAACGCAUUAAGCGCCCCGCCUGGGGAGUACGGCCGCAAGGCUAAAACUCAAAUGAAUUGAC